CACUAUAGUGCCCUGAGGGUGCCCCCACCCUCAGGGUCCCCCUUCCGUUAAAACCCCUUCAGCAGCUUACCUUAUUCCAGGGCCAGGCUCCCUCGGCGCUGGUGACCUCUCCUCCCCGUGACGUCAGCGGAGCCGAAUGCGCACAUUCGAAGGUGUCAAUAGGAAAGUUGUCAAUUUCUCAAUGCUUUCCUAUGGACGCUCUGCGCGAUGGAGGC